GACGAACGCUGGCGGCGUGCUUAACACAUGCAAGUCGAACGGAAAGGCCCUGCUUUUGUGGGGUGCUCGAGUGGCGAACGGGUGAGUAACACGUGAGUAACCUGCCCUUGACUUUGGGAUAACUUCAGGAAACUGGGGCUAAUACCGGAUAGGAGCUCCUGCUGCAUGGUGGGGGGUGGAGAGUUUCGGCGGUUGGGGAUGGACUCGCGGCUUAUCAGCUUGUUGGUGGGGUAGUGGCUUACCAAGGCUUUGAGGGGUAGCCGGCCUGAGAGGGUGACCGGCCACAUUGGGACUGAGAUACGGCCAGGACUCCUACGGGAGGCAGCGGUGGGAAAUAUGGCACAAGGGGCGGAAGCCUGAUGCAGCAACGCCGCGUGCGGGAGGACGGCCUUCGGGUGGUAAACCGCUUUCGCCUGUGACGAAGCGUGAGUGACGGUAAUGGGUAAAGAAGCACCGGCUAACUACGUG
rnacentral:rRNA from 1 species